UCUAGUCCAUCCAUCUUUGAUUACCUCUCAAGUAAAUAAGUUUGAAAUUGCAAUAACAUUUAGAUUACAAGUUUAUGUUAAGAAGUCUCUUCUAUUUCUUUUUUCUCUCACAUAAUCACGUAACAGUUGCCGGAACUAUAUAUGAAUAUAAUAGAAUAAUAAAUUUGUUUUGAAGAAAAAACCCACACGAAGCAGAUGUUCCGUUUCACCUUUUUUUUUUAACGGCUUCAACAGAAAAAAUCUGAAAACCCCGUUUAUGCAUAAAAUAACUAAUACAAGAUGUAAUUUCUAUAAGAAAAUUGUACAAAAUAAGAGAAGUUAAUUUUUACACGGGGAAUGCUCUAAGUUUACUCUCUCUAAUAAGUAGGGUUCUUGGAAUCGCUAAAAAAGAACGAAUUUGAUUGGUUGAAAGAGAUUAUAUUAAAAAAGAAAUAAAACACGUUGGUACCCUUGCAUCUUCUAAAGAACUUUUCCUCGGUAUUGUACUAAUCAUCAGCAAUGCAACUUUCCCUUACUGCUCUCUCAGCUCAAUCAUCAUCAUGCGGAUGAAAACGUCCCCUUUUUCAUGGAAUUCUAACAACGAAGGUAAAAUUGGAAAAUAAAAGUAUAUCUUGUUGUUUCUGCAGUUUCUCGCCCAUCUCGUUCUUUAUGGCAAGUAAUCCGCCACUUCAAAACCUCUCAUCACAUCAACAACUUAAAAAUCCACAAGAAACACAAGAUUCAAGGAGACAAAGGAGAAUUAAACGGUUCAUCAUUCAAUUUGGACGUAGCAAAGUUAUUUGUGUCGUGUAACAUCCCUUUAAAUGUUCUAAAUCAUCCCAAUUUCUCCAAGUUUAUUGAAAAAUAAACGGAAAAAACUUCUCCAGGUCGAUAGGUCGUUAACAACUUGGCUGGGAAAGUAUGUCAAGGACUUUUGAAUAGAAUAAAAGAAGAGGUGGAAGAAAAGGAGAUUUUCGUUGCACUACAUGAGACAAGAGAUCAUCAAGUGAGGUCAAUUACGGGAAUUUAGAUUGGCCCUUUGGACAGAUAUUUCUGUGGGAGGCCUUAACUUAUUGAUUUGAUUGAUAUUGACAUUGUAAACGCAAAAAAUGUAAAGAACAUCGUAAAAAGCUCAGUUUAUAAGUUAUUGGGAGAAGAUUUUGUCCAGUGUAGACUUAAAGUUUUCCUUACUGAUGCCGCCUCGUAUAAUCUCAAAGCAGGAGAAGAUCUUCGAAAGAAAAUCACGGAAUUGAUUCACAUUACAUGUAUUGCUCAUGGAUUACAUUUGCAAAUAUGGUUCAACAAAAGUUUCCUCUAACGAACGAACUUGUUUCCAAUGUGAAGAGGAUGUUUUUGAAAACUGGAUGAAGAAAGAGUGUAUUUACUGUUUCGUACGAAAUACCUCUUCCUCCAUCGCAAAUUAUAACAUGAUAGGGAACUUGGUUAAAAGCAGUGGAGCACUACUACCAUCACUUCGACGUCUUCAGAGAAUAUUUAAAUAGCAUUGAUGAAGAUUUGGCAGCAACCAAAAGAGCAAAAGAAUUAAUUAAUAAUGAUUCCUUAAGAGAAGAAGUCGUAUUUAUACAGGAACUCCCAACAAGUGAAAACCUUGUAUACAAAAAUACUCCAAUUUUCAAUUCUGUUGCUGAGAGAGUCUGUAGUAUGAUGAAUAUCCUCAAUAUGAAAAGGAGGUCCAAACUAAGUGCUAAGAAAUUGAGGGAAUUGUUGAUAACCAAAUGUAAUGAAUGUUUUGUUAUCAUUUAAUUGUCAACAAAUUUCGUGUCAAAGUUAUCUAUUCAUCCUUUAUAGUCAGUGGCCACUAAGAAGUUAUGAGUACACUUCCUGUAAUGAUGGGUUUGAUGUUCUCUAACUAACAAUA
rnacentral:lncRNA from 1 species